rnacentral:rRNA from 1 species
GAUGAACGCUGGCGGCGUGCCUAAUACAUGCAAGUCGAGCGAACAGACGAGGAGCUUGCUCCUCUGACGUUAGCGGCGGACGGGUGAGUAACACGUGGAUAACCUACCUAUAAUACUGGGAUAACUUCGGGAAACCGGAUCUAAUACCGGAUAAUAUAUUGAACCGCAUGGUUCAAUAGUGAAAGACGGUUUUGCUGUCACUUAUAGAUGGUUCCGCGCCGCAUUAGCUAGUUGGUAAGGUAACGGCUUACCAAGGCAACGAUGCGUAGCCGACCUGAGAGGGUGAUCGGCCACACUGGAACUGAGACACGGUCCAGACUCCUACGGGAGGCAGCAGUAGGGAAUAUUCCGCAAUGGGCGAAAGCUUGACGGAGCAACGCCGCGUGAGUGAUGAAGGUCUUCGGAUCGUAAAACUCUGUUAUUAGGGAAGAACAAAUGUGUAAGUAACUAUGCACGUCUUGACGGUACCUAAUCAGAAAGCCACGGCUAACCUCGUG